CCUACGGGAGGCAGCAGUGGGGAAUAUUGCACAAUGGGGGAAACCCUGAUGCAGCGACGCCGCGUGAGUGAAGAAGUAAUUCGUUAUGUAAAGCUCUAUCAGCAGGGAAGAAAAUGACGGUACCUGAGUAAGACUCCCCGGCUAACUACGUGCCAGCAGCCGCGGUAAUACGUAGGGGGCAAGCGUUAUCCGGAUUUACUGGGUGUAACGGGAGCGUAGACGGAAGUGCAAGUCUGGAGUGAAAGGCGGGGGCUCAACCCCCGGACUGCUCUGGAAACUGUACGGCUGGAGUGCAGGGGAGGUAAGUGGAAUUCCUAGUGUAGCGGUGAAAUGCGUAGAUAUUAGGAGGAACACCAGUGGCGAAGGCGGCUUACUGGACUGUAACUGACGUUGAGGCUCGAAAGCGUGGGGAGCAAACAGGAUUAGAUACCCUAGUAGUC
rnacentral:rRNA from 1 species